rnacentral:rRNA from 1 species
UUCAGUUUUACUGAAAGUGACGGGCGAUAUGUGCAUUUAAAAUUUCUUUUUAAAUUUUUUAUUUUUUAUAAUAAAAUUUAUUUUUAAAUCCUUUUUUGCUAUAAUCUUUAUAUUACUCUAUAAAAAUUUUUAUUGUAUUCCAUUUUUACUUUUAUUUAUUUUUUGUCUUGAUUUGUUUUGUAAUUAUUUUAUUAAAAAGAAAAUAAAUUUUUAUUUUUUCUUUAAAACAAUGAUAUGAAAAAUUAUAAAAAAAGUCUCCUUAAUCGUGGGUUAUCGAUUAUAAAACAGAAUCCUCUAAAUAGAUUUUAAACCGCCAUUUUUGUUAGAUUUUUCUUUAUAUAGUUACUAUCUUUUUUUAGUUUAGAA